UCUAUUUGGUGAUGUGAUAAUAGUUGAAGU
rnacentral:piRNA from 1 species